UUUAGAGGACCCUCUGUUUUAGGCUUUAAUUUCUCUGCCAGUUUACUGCUUUGUAAUCAAGGCAGAGCAGUUAGCCUAUAGCAGAGUCGUCUCUAUAACUUCUCUAGCCACAGAGAUCACCCCCGCCUCUGGUCUGCGCAGGAUGCUAGCCUCUCGCUGCCUGCUCUAGUCUGUUCCUGGCCCCUCAGGACAAACCUUUCCUGGCGAUCUUCCGGAUCGGCUGGCUUGUAAUGAAGACAUUAAAUGAAAAGAAUAAGGAUAAAGGAGAGAUGGCUGCAGAUACACUUGAUGACCCCACUGAGUC